AAGGAGCUUGAAGAUCACUUCGUAACAGCUGAUGUAAGAGAUUGGAUUCCAUUCCACUGGUGAAGUUCACUUCAAUUGAAAUUGUGAGAGGAACCUGAGGAACAGCACAAGACCAUGUCACGGGAACGGUUACCUGAUGGACUACCUGAUGGAUUUGAUGAGAAUAAUUAUGAGUGCAGUUUGGUCGGUGUACAAUAUCUGGGCCAGUCUCUGAUACCGCAGGUUCGGACACAAGAAGAUCACACAUGCGUCUUCUACUCCAUAGCGUACGCAGCAGAAAUGCAACUGCGACUGAAUAGAUGGUGCAGAGGGUUACCGAGUGAUGUGGUUUUUGAUGGAUACAACUUUGCAAAGGAUUAUGAGUGGCAUGUGCGUGCCCCAUUGGCAAGUGUGCCCGAGCUUUUUUACAAUCGGAUAAACAUAGCAUGGGAGUUUUUCAGAACCAAGGUAUUUUCGCGACCUCCAAAGACUGGCCUCGGCGUGUGCGCUUCCCACUGACUGGAUACCAGCUUCAUCCACGUCUUGAGGCUGGACAGGUCUUUGACAUGAUUAGAUGGGAGCAAAGGCCUAUUCUUGGCACUUUUCCUGUUCGACAAGAUUUUAAUCUAAUCGCCAACACAAUUUAUGAGCUCCUGCCGCCUGCCACUGCUGAGAAUCCACCACUCUCACAACACAUGGUUAUGUUCAUUGGACACGGCAGGCGAGAAGGGAGGCCAUAUUUGCUCUUUCUGAAUUCCUACGGCGUCGAAUUUGGAACAGGUGGCAUUGGUCGAGUAUAUUUUGAUCAAGUGACCCAAGACCAUGGGGUGGGAUUUUAUACUCUGACCAUUGAUGAGCUCGGUGCCAGCUCCUCCGGCGGAACACCGCCUCCUGCUUGCAGUCCAUUUCCUUCUCCUCGUGGCCCACCCCCUCCUCCUGGUGGUCCAGCCCCUUCAGUUCAUUAAGAUGAUAUUUAGGACGCCAAAGUCGCAGAUUCUACAUUCAAUCUUGGAGCAUGCAGGAAUGCUUUGGAGGAGUUGGCAUCCAGUGAUCUUAUUGAGCUAUACAAGGAGGCUAGAAUUGAGCACUGCCGUGCAACUAGGGACUUGAGUAGCUACGGCUGCUAUGUGCAGCAUGUGCUUAACUCUUUCGGGCACGCCUUGUGUGUUGAGUGUAGAGAUGUGACAUCUGCCCAAUUUGCAGACGUCCAAUAGCUGAUAAUGGAAAUAGA